CUUCUUUUCCGAUUACUUUAGAGC
rnacentral:siRNA from 1 species